UCCGGAGUAGCUCAAUGGUAGAGCACGCGACUGUUAAUCGUGUGGUUGUAGGUUCGAGUCCUACCUCCGGAGCCA
rnacentral:tRNA from 1 species